UUUUUUUUUUUUUUUUUGUUAACUAAAUCGAUAUUUUUCUGAAGUUAACGUUACUCCCUUUCGUUCUCUAUAAUUCCAUCAUGCAGUGAUUCUAAUCCUAUCUAACAGUUGCUUCCAUUAAUUCUAUCUAACGGUUGCUUUCAUUUUUAUAAUCUAAACACUUGUUUCACUUUCCUCUUCACCCAUCGGCAAAUUAAUUUUCUCAUUUGAUUUCUGUGAAAGCAUUGAGAAUCACUUGAUUAAGACUUGACGUUGAAGAUCAUUGCCAUUUUUGAUUGUCCAAUUAAGGCUGGAGGUUCGCAUAUGGAGACUAAGUUCAACAAUCAAGCUAAAAAUGCAAUGCAAAUUGAUAGAGCAUCUCCAUGGAUAUCAGGCCCAUCUGAAAGCUCGACAUGACACAUAUUUCAGGACCUCCCAUAUAGGUUCACAGCCAGAUGGGCUCGGGCAGUCAGCCUAGUCGCACUGCAGGAGUAAAUAUUUCAUUACAAAAAUUUUACCAUCUUCCAGGCUUUUAUUAAUGGUAUCCUUUUCGCUGACUUCUAAUUUCCCUUCUGUUUUACUUAUGGUCUAGUUGAUGCCUGAGAUGGAGAAAGCACUACUUCAGUAGGUCAUGAGCCUCACACUAGAAUAGAUUAAUCUUGUAAUACCCUCAGUUUGGCAAUCUCAGAUAUUUUGAUUAUUAUGGUAAUUAUUGCUAUUCAAAAGGAUAGAAUAAUUGGAAUUACUUUAAUUUAUUAAUUAGGAACUAUUAAUUAUAUAA